ACGGGAGGCAGCAGUGGGGAAUAUUGGGCAAUGGGCGCAAGCCUGACCCAGCAAUGCCGCGUGAAGGAAGAAGGCUUUCGGGUUGUAAACUUCUUUUAUGAGGGACGAAGGACGUGACGGUACCUCAUGAAUAAGCCACGGCUAACUACGUGCCAGCAGCCGCGGUAAUACGUAGGUGGCAAGCGUUAUCCGGAUUUACUGGGUGUAAAGGGCGCGUAGGCGGGGAUGCAAGUCAGAUGUGAAAUCUAUGGGCUUAACUCAUAAACUGCAUUUGAAACUGUAUCUCUUGAGUGCUGGAGAGGUAGAUGGAAUUCCUUGUGUAGCGGUGAAAUGCGUAGAUAUAAGGAAGAACACCAGUGGCGAAGGCGAUCGACUGGACAGUAACUGACGCUGAGGCGCGAAAGCGUGGGGAGCAAACAGGAUUAGAUACCCUGGUA
rnacentral:rRNA from 1 species